UACAGGCUUCAAAAGACAUUAGGGUUAGUAAAUGUUGACAGAAUUAAAUUACAUAUUUGUGCAAAAUUUUCCUUUAAACUCUAAAAGUUUCACAUGAUCAUUUACACAACUUUCACUUUCUAAGAUGAUAUAAAAUAAUGACAUUUUGAAUGACAACAUUCCCAUUGAGACAGACUGGAUUGUAACAAUAUUGAUGUUUUCAUAUUGUUUUAGCUCCAGUUAAAUCAGUGGGUAUUACAUGAAGAGGUGAGUCAUCUGCAACACCAGCAGAGUUUAUCCAGAACCAGAUGUAUUGUGGUUCUCGGAUCCCCCAACAAACAAACAAUCAAACAACUACAACAAAACAGAUGAAAACCUGUUCACGGUGACAAGUGAACUUAAAAACAUACUAUACAGCUACAGUAGUUUGAAACAGCAAGAAAUCUCAGUGCAAGAUGAGGUAACACUCCCAUGUCCAUUCACUGAGGACUUCAACUACAUUGUCACUGUGAAUUCUUCCAUCACUGUUCUGAAACAUGACAGCCAAACCUCUAUAAAAAAAAUCUCUGACCAGAUUAAAGGCAAGGUUAACUUUUUUGCCAGAUGGGACAGCCAAACUCCAUCACCUGAGUAAAGAAGACCAUUCAGGAACCUACACCUGUGAGAGCAGUAUUGCAGAAUCUAGAUACAUUAUGCACACCAUAGUCACACUAACAGAUGUGGGAGAUCAUCCAACCUUGGCAAUUGUCCUUCCUGAUUUGGCAGUCAUAAUCACAAUUAUAAUUGCCAUUACUUGUGUUGUGAAAAGAAAAAAAGAAAAGAAAAGGCGUAGCAAGGAGUACAAAGUUUACCAAAGCCAGCCAGAUCCAGCUCUGUUCCUGCUUGGUGUCGGACUCCACUGCUACGUGUCGCUGAGUGAUGACGACAAACUACAGCCGGUGCCAGCCAGUCAUCACUUCAGUCUUUUGACUUCAGAGGAUGAACUGAUGCCAACUCCAACUGUAAAACAUAGAAUACUUCAUAUGCCACUGCCUGAACACUGGGCUUAGGAUGGUCCCCACAAAACCUCACCAAAAUGUCCUGCCAGUUGAACUGUGAUGCACCUCAUUAAUCUCUGCCUGCAUCACCUUUGUCUAUUAAUGGACUACACUCUUGAAAUGGAAUACAUAGGCUAUCAUUUAAUUACCAACAAAAGCCUUCAUCAGCCAACUAACAAAGGACAAUGUAUCUCUGUGAACUUCUGCAGUUAAUCCAGGAUGGACUUCAAAAAGGCAUUAGUCAUUCAUCUUAAAGUUAAUAAAAAAUAUAUUAUUAUUAUUAUUUUUUUUUUUAAACACUGGACCUUAAUGCUUACAUAAUUUACAAAUUUUAAACCAUGACUUGUACUAUACAUAAGUAAGUAAUAUUGGCAUUAUAUUCAUGUUGUUUAGCCAGAGGGGAACUGGCCCCCACAGUGAGCCUGGUUUCUCCCAAGUUUAUUUUUCUCCAUUAACCAACAUCUUAUUGAGUUUUGUGCUUCUUGUCACAGUUGCCUCCAGCUUGCUCACUGGGGUUCUAAAUACAAUUAUUAUUUAAUUAUUUAAUUUUUAUACAUAAUUUACAAUCAUAUUUAAUCAAACUACACAAUAAUCACUCAAGACUUUAUAGAUAUUGGUUUCUUUUCUUUUUUUUCUCUUUUUUUUUUUUUUUUUUUUUUUGUUAAUGCAUGAUUUCCUGUAAAGCUACUUUGAAAUGAUACGUGUUGUGAAAAGCGCUAUACAAAUAAAAAUGACGACUUAAUUUGUUGAUUCGUGCAAAAUUAUUUUAAUUUAAUGUGUUUGCUGAUGCGGAAAAGUAUAUCUGACACUUUAAAUUACUGUCAAUCCACUGUCAUUGGUAUUCUGCAGCAAUACUCAAGAUGGAAUGUCCAAAGUUUAAGA